rnacentral:rRNA from 1 species
AUUAUGACUCUCGGCAACGGAUAUCUCGGCUCUCGCAUCGAUGAAGAACGUAGCGAAAUGCGAUACGUGGUGUGAAUUGCAGAAUCCCGUGAACCAUCAAGUAUUUGAACGCAAGUUGCGCCCGAGGGACCCUCCCGAGGGCACGCCUGCCUGGGCGUUAGAA